rnacentral:lncRNA from 1 species
GGCGGCAGCUGUUCGUGAGGAAAUACCCCAUUAUGCACAGCUGUUGCAGAAUGAGGCUUUAAUAGAUUUUUGCCUUCAUAGAAAAGCUCUCGGUGCCCAGCUGGAAGGGAGCAGCAGCUGACGUGGAGGAGCUCAUGACUAUCAAAGACUUUUUAAGAAAAUAAAUUGGCGGGGAACUUGUAGGAGAGUCGGAUUAAGGGCGAAGAGGAGCUUAUUAUUAUUAUUAUUGUUAUUAUUAUUAUUUUCUUGGAAGGAGCUUUGUGGUCUUAGUUAUUUGCUGAUGAGCACAGUUGGCUGUGGCGCUUCCCUCCCGGCGCAUGUCACCGCUGGGAGGUUUGGAGCGGAAAGAGGGGCACGGAAAACUGAAAGGAAGCGAGUGACUGAUGCUGAGCCUUUGUCUCUUCUGGAGGAGUGGGAGAAAAGGCCAAAACUGCUUUGAGAUUGUCAGUAUUUGGCACAACGCAGCGCUUCGAGUCAGAUGGGGCAUCAACCGUGACAUACGCAGCAGCGGCUCUUCAAAACAGAACCGAACUGAAGCGAACCUCGCUCGUUCCAGCGUUUUCCCUCGGCACGUUCUCCCUUCCGCAGCGAUCAGUGGAAAACGUGAACAACUUACAAGGACAGGCCGGCACACUCGCGCUGCGAUCUCGUUCCGUCUUUGCAUUCGUACCUCUGCCUGUUCAACUUCAAACCCGGAUGCUGCUUCUACAAGGGCAAGUGCUGCCCGAGUGCCCCGCGCACGCGGCCAGGUGAAUGAAGAGCGCAUCCCAGAAGUGAACGGCCCCUACCUCGAGAUGCCGCCUUCUUCCAGUGCCACAAGGUUGCCUGGCUAGUUUCUCC